rnacentral:piRNA from 1 species
GCCAGAAUCCUACAGCUUGGUGUUC